GACGAACGCUGGCGGCGUGCCUAAUACAUGCAAGUCGAACGCAUUUUCUUUCACCGUAGCUUGCUACACCGAAAGAAAAUGAGUGGCGAACGGGUGAGUAACACGUGGGUAACCUGCCCAUCAGCGGGGGAUAACACUUGGAAACAGGUGCUAAUACCGCAUAAUUCCAUUUACCGCAUGGUAGAUGGAUGAAAGGCGCUUUUGCGUCACUGAUGGAUGGACCCGCGGUGCAUUAGCUAGUUGGUGGGGUAACGGCCUACCAAGGCUGCGAUGCAUAGCCGACCUGAGAGGGUGAUCGGCCACACUGGGACUGAGACACGGCCCAGACUCCUACGGGAGGCAGCAGUAGGGAAUCUUCGGCAAUGGACACAAGUCUGACCGAGCAACGCCGCGUGAGUGAAGAAGGUUUUCGGAUCGUAAAACUCUGUUGUUAGAGAAAAACAAGGAUGAGAGUGGAAAGUUCAUCCCUUGACGGUAUCUAACCAGAAAGCCACGGCUAACUACGUG
rnacentral:rRNA from 1 species